rnacentral:rRNA from 1 species
GUCGAAGGCCUUUUCACCCUGAACGUGCCCAAUCUCGUCUGGUCUUGAAGCUAAACAGAGUCGGCCUGGUUAGUACUUGGAUAGAAGACAGAUUAGAAGAGACUGUUUAGA